CAAACAUAUAAUUCGCAAAACUGCCGUUUGCAAAACACUUUCAUCUCAAUGUUCAUCUUAGGUGCUUUUAUUUUUAAAUUUUUAUGCCAGGAUGGUUUCCUAGUUGUUGCUGUUUCCUGCUGGGCUUCAUUAAUUAGCCUCUGUCACCUUUACCUCUGGCUGCAGUCUGGCUAUGAGUUCUGUCUCCUUUAUUCCUACCUGCAGCUUGAGUUAGUCCAUCAAAAACAUGUAUGUGAGGGAGUUCCCUGGUGGUCCAGUGGUUAGGACUCAGUGCUUUUACUGCCGUGGCCCAGGUUCAGUCCCUGGUGGGGGAACUAAGAUCCCGCAAGCCGAGUGGCGUGGCCAAAAACAAACAAAAAAUGUAUGUGAAGGUGAAAAUGCUGGGUGUCUGACACCACCAUAUCCUUGUGCAGAGGCCUCUGAAGGUGAAAAUUCUGUCAUGGGCUUCUCAUUGCGUCUUGAGCCGUUUCUGGUCACUGCUUCUCUAACACUGCAGACCUUUCUAGCACAUCUGCCCUGGAGAGGCACCUGAUCAGCACCAUCACACUAAUUCAGUAAUAAGUGAGAGGUGUCUGGAUUCUGAAAACCAAGCAGCAAAUGGGAACUUCUCACCCUCGCCCUCAGAUGCAGCUUUCCAAGGUUGGAAAGUGCCUUUCUUCUUGGAUUAGCACAGCUCUGUGGAAAUCUGGUACAAAGUUCAUCACUGUCCAACAGGGUAAGUCAGUCCACAAACAAGGAGCCUCAUUUAGGGAUCUGAAAAAUCCAUUUCGAAGUAAGCAAUCUAUGAGUUGCUUCUACUGUCUAGUCAGCUCUCAAGUGACAAAAUAUAAUAGAGCCCUUACUUUGGUAAGACAUGCAAUUACAGAAGGUCACUAUGGACUUCUAAAAGCUGACGUUCAAGUUUAAUCAGACACAUCACAGCUAACACCUCACAGAUGACUGGAUAGGAUGGUUUUGUUUUUCUUCAUGUCCUGAACAAACACUUCAUAACACCAGAUACCAUAUGCCCUCGGUGGAAUAAUACUAGCUAAUAUUAAGUGCUAUUUACCAGUUGUGAUUCUAAGUACUUUACAUUUGAAGUGGAGCUAUUAUUGCCAUUUUACAGAUGAGAAAACUGAGACAUAGGUUAAAUAACUUGCCUUAAGACCACACAGCUAUUAUGCAUCAGAAAUAUUUGAAGUCAGGCAGCUGAACUCUAAAGCUCAUGCUUUCCUGAACUGCUGGUCAAGCUUUCAAAUUAUCAGCUUAAAGUCGGAUCUGACUUACAUUGACUCUUGGGCCACUGUUAAGUAUGGAAAAGGUACUGGCUGGUAACUCAAACACUAGAAAUCCCUGGCGUGGAGCACAUGGAGCAUAUGCCUGUGUGGCACGGUUCCCCUGUGGCACUUGGCAUCAUGAGGUAGGGACAGGGUCUAUCUUGGACAAAGGCAAUCCUUAAGCACCAUAUUGCUCAUAAAAUCAUCAGGAUGUUGAAGGAAAAGGCAUGAUCUAAUCCCCAGCUGGAUAGGUAGAGUUCCAGUCAGCUACUCCAGAGAUGGGUAGUGAACAGAUGCAGAGGCUCAGGCCUGGACUGAGGCUUGAGUCCAAACCAUAUGCUAGAAGAGGUUUGGUGUAAGGCAGUAAGAGGUAGGAACACUGACAAACUAGGAAGCAUACGAUGCUGAAGGCACUCUUAGAAUUUUAAGUUUAAGCACCUAAGAGUGCUGGCUGGCCAAACAUAUCACACCUGUGGGUCAAAGUGGUCCAUGGGCCAGAAAUCUGUCACCCUUGGGCUAAAGGUGACUUUCAGACAACUAUCUAUGGAAAAGAGGUGGUGAGCAAAUUCAUAAGAGAAAAGCCUGAUCUACUAAAAAUAGCAACUUUAAAUUAUAUUAAUUACAUGGGAUAAUAGUGGAUAAAAGUACAGACUGAAUUCAAAUUAUUCUGCUUUGAGAAUCAGUUUACUCUUCUGUAAAAUGGGGCCAAUGCCAACUGCUUCACAGGACUGCUGAGAAUAAAAAGAAAUCAACUAAGCAGCCUCGCACAGUCCUCAGUAUAUUAAGAAGGUAAAUGUAUUGGCCCACACAUACUGUGGGAAGGCAGUGGUGAGUUUGGCCUAGGGGAUGACUGAAUCAAUGGCUCUAGUGCAUCCAUCAGGCCUUCUCCAUCUCUUGGCUUUGCUCUUGUGUUAGAUUUAUUCUCUUGGACUGACUUCUCUGCGUGGCAGUUCAGACCUUACGUCCUUACAGCUCUGUGACAAGAAAAGGGCUCCUUUUCCUACCUCCAGUAUGAAAAAUCCCCAGAUAAGGACUCUGAUUAGUCUGACUUGGCUUGAAUGUCCAUCCCUUAGGCCAGUGGUUCCCCAGAUCAGCAUUAGAUAUCAGGGAAUUUGUUGGAAAUGCAAAUUAUCAGCCCCCCCUCCCCCUGAUGCAGGGGUGAGGCCGAACCACCUGAACAAGUCCUCCAAGUGGAUCUGAUGCACACUGAAGCCUGAGAACCACUGCCUUGGAAAGGGAGUGAGGUACUACAAUGGGUCUAUCUUGGAUUACAUGCUCGGUUGGGAGUUAUUACUAAAAAAGAUGGGGUACUGGGCAGACAAAAACAUGUAUCCAAUAUGUCCUUUCUUUCAAAAGUUGACAUACAGGAACUAUGACCUGCCAACAUUCUCAGGUGAAGGGGAGGAUGAGGGCAGUACUGGUUAGAGACAAGGCUUAUUAGAAAGCUGCCCAUUCAGGAAGAGCUUUGCCUUUGUCCUUCUCCUUGCAACCCUCAGCGAUCUUUAUAAGGCCCCAAUUCUCCAUGGGAACCUCCUUGAUGAUGGCUCCCACUCCAUCAGAAAUGCUCAGAUUCCUUAGGGCUUCUCUUCCUCCCUGCUUUCUCCUUCCCUUCACUUAAUAAAUAUCUGUUGAGCACCUAAAUGUCCUGCUCUCAUGAAAGUAAACAAAUUAGAGCCAUGGAGUAAAUAAACAGGGGCUGUUGGUCCACAGGGUAAGAAACCAGCCAUCAAACAAUCUGGGGAAGUGAACUACAGGAUGGAACUACAAAAGAUCUGAGACAGGAAAGAGCUUGCCAUUUUAGAAAGCACACACAAAAAAGUCUAGAAAGUAGAGUACUAUGAAAGGAGAGAGGCAGAAAGUCUGCUGUCUCCAUUAAGAAGCUUGGAUUUUAUUCUCCACACAAUGGGAAGCAAUUAAAAGUUCUACGCAGAUGAAAGACAUCAUCCAGUUUACUCAAAACUAUUUUAACUGCUGUGUGAAGAAUGUACUAUACAGGGUUAAACAUGGAAGCUGGGAGGCCAGUGCCAUGCCAAAGGCCAACAGCACCAAUUGCUUCUGCUUCAUGAGAAUUGCCAUUAAAAUACCUCCUCUUCCCUGCACCAGCUACCACACUUACGGGGAAAAAAAACUUUCAAUAUGCUGCUAAGUGAUAAUCAGGCUCUAAGAGUCAAUGUGAGUUGGCAUUUCUUGUUCUUUACUCUUCAUGAGAAAUCAGCAACCCAGUUUAUCAAAAAUCCAAACCCAUAAACAUGAUCUCUUACUUCAAAGGUAUCUUCAAUGCCAUUAACGCAAAGUUUCAGAAAUAAAUAAUCCUGAGAACAAGGCUUGCAAAAAUGACCAACCUGACAACGCCAUUAGCACCCAUCUCACUACUGAAAAGAAGAAUGGUUAUUAUUCCUCAUAUCAAAAUAACAUCAUGGACAGUGAUUGUCAAGGGCCAUGAGGACAAAUGGUUUGUGAAAAACAACUUCCCUUCACUGCAUACCCUAAAAUUGUAGCCAUUAACUUACCUGUCUGCUUGAGUUCAGCUACCGUCAUAGAAAGAAGAUCAUUAUUCUGCACUAGCUCAAAGCCGAAGACAGGCUGUGAUCCCGGAAUUGGCAGAAUGUAGCUUAUCCCCAUACCUCUGGUAUGGAUAGUGCUGGAAGCCAAUCUGAUAGCACAGUCCAGGCUUCCCAAUUCACACAACACCUAAGACUUGCUUUUGGAUCCUGAAUGACUAGAUUAACUAUUAUAUGGCCCCCCAGAGAAAAGCUGGGCCCAUCACUUGCUUAGCCAACCACAUCUUCUCAUAAGCAUUCAUCACUAUGACCAGACUCUUGAAGUAAACCCUCAGUUACCUUUUUCAACUUCAUUUUCUCCGCAUGAAGAAAUCUAGUCGAUAAGCACUGCUGUUACACACUGAUAAGAAUGUAUUCAAAGUAAACAGGCACUGCUCAUCCUUUGAUCACAAUCAGUUUUAAAUGCCUAAAAUCUGUACCUUAUUGAUAAUGCUGCUUCAUUCAUACGCAGAGAAAACCAAACUUGCUGUGGAAAGCAUCCAAAGAUGACUAAAUCUUCCAGUGGACAGUUAGUUUUCUCAAAAAACAAAAAUGUAAAAGAAAGUUAGUAUCUCUUAAAGUUUCCAUAAAAAAUGUAUGAGAUGGUAGAUGGUUUCAGUCUAUCAGUAACAUUAAUUAGAUGGAUCCAGUUAUUAUCCUGGGCUAAUGACCAUUGCUUAGCGUGAUAAGGCAAACAAGAACAAUGUGAACAAUUAAGAUGUGCAGAUAAAUCCAAACCCCUUUUGUAAAAUUUUACUGAAGCCUCUAACAAAAAUUUUAUGGAUCAGGAAAUGGGCUGUAAAGGGAUUCAUCUGGAUUUUCAUCCAUGCUAAAGAGCAAGGAAACAGCCAAAGGAUAAAUGGAAAAGCAAAGUCUGGAUACUUGUAUCAGGACAAUCAAUAGCUGAAUAAAUAAUCACCCAGCACUGCUGUUUUUAGAACCAGAGGCUCUCAGAAAAAGGAUUACAAAGUAUAUUUAAAUUAAUAUUCCCCAGAUACAUGUGCCUCAUCCAUUUACUAACUUCUAUAUGUCAUUUUAAUAUAAACGUUAAUGUGUUACAAUGUAACUCUUAGGAGCUUAAAAAAAAAGAUGUUAUUUUUCUCUAGUUAAAAACAGUACUUUAUGUGAAGAGAGAACUAACAAAUAGUCCAGCUAACUUUCUCUAAAUAUAUAAAAUGAACUUACUACAUCUUUCAAACCACUCAGAAAAAGUACUGUUUUAAGGUGUUUUAUAUAAUGUAAUCAAGCAUUUACAGUUACUCCUCCCAUUAAACCCUUAUGUUUCACUUGAAUUACUACAAACUAAAGUCCUCUCUAAAUCUGAAUUAUGAGCAUUAAACCACUCACUGCCUGGCCAUAAGCAAACACCUAUUCUGACAAUACAGAACUGAGAAAAAAUUCUUUCAGAGACCACUUCUUGGUAGCUCUUAGGUAAAUCACCUAACAGUGCGUCAAUCAGUAAUGACAUUAAAUGCAAAGAUGGAAAUUUUCAUAGUUGGACAUUUUUACUCCACACUUUUUAAUUUAAUAAUGGCAAAAUACUUAGAAAGUGGGACCAAGGGGGAAGAAAUUAUAAGGAAUUCAGCUAUGUUCUCAAAAGGAAUAAUAUAAUGCAGUCAGAAUAAGACUGCAUAGGACGCUGAUGGCUCUCAUUCCCAUGCCUCACAUGAUGGGGACAUCUGAACCAGGCCUGUGUCUUAGGGAAGUCUAGUUGAGUGUAAGACUAGAACAGGGGAGCUAGAUAGGGUAGAGAAGGAGGGGUUACAAACUAUCUUCACUAACUUUUUCCAUACCCAGUAAAAGAAUAGAUGAUCUUUAAAUUCAGGUGGGUAAAUUUAGUAUUACUUCAGGAGAUACUAACCAAAAUCCACCUUUUCUCAUGUCCACCAAUUUCAAAAUUAAAGGCUUAAAAAAUUAGCUGAUUAGCUCUGAUGCGUUUAACAUGCAAGUGUCAUCAGCUGACUCUGAGAAACUGAUUGCUAGCCAAUGCCUUUGUAAGCAAACAUGGCCACCAAUUGCCUACAUUUCCGAACUAUGCCAAAGAAACUUACCUUCUUUCCUGUUUGCCAUUUUCAGUCUCAGGACCAUAGGCAGUUCUGCUUUGGACUCCUUUAUUGUUAUUCCUUUUUUAAAAUGCAUGCUUCCUUAAGAAGGAGCUUUGUUCACAGAAAAUUUGUUACCUCAAUGCUCACUAUAUUCUGUUUUAUAUUACACAGACAACCGAAAGUAGUUGGAGAGUCUUCUAAUACCUGAGAUGUCUUAUAAAGAACACUCAUAGCAUUUAAAAGGUUUGUGUGAACCAAACUACAAGUAUCUGAAAGUAUUUCAAAUUGUUCGGUUUACAUUUAAAAGAGUAAGAUUCUUUUAUUUUUUCCUGGUCAGGCUUUCCAGACAUCUCAAAUCCUACAGCCAAGCCUGAACAUAUCUUGCCCAAAUCCAAAUAUGUUGUACCUAUUAUUUGGCUUAAGAAAAUUUAGAAGCUAUCAAGCUUCUAAAUUUAUGAUUAGAUGGUAUUAAAUGCCAAGCCAUAAAAAAUACUUCCCCAAAAGUAUAUAUACCUAGAAAUUUUUAAGUAAUUAAAUUUAUACAUGUGUGUUUUAAAGAAAGGAUUAGAAUAUUCUUAUGUAAUCAAUUCUAACUUUAGCCCUUUACAACUGUAUUAUAACUUUAUUUAACUUGGUAAAAGCCAAAACUGAUGGUUCUUAACAUGGUAUGUGGAAAUCAAAAUUAAAGAAUACAAAAUACCUUAAAAAAAAAAAA